rnacentral:rRNA from 1 species
CAGUCGCCACGGGAAUACGGAGGGUGCAAGCGUUAAUCGGAAUUACUGGGCGUAAAGCGCACGCAGGCGGUCUGUCAAGUCAGAUGUGAAAUCCCCGGGCUUAACCUGGGAACUGCAUUUGAAACUGGCAGGCUAGAGUCUUGUAGAGGGGGGUAGAAUUCCAGGUGUAGCGGUGAAAUGCGUAGAGAUCUGGAGGAAUACCGGUGGCGAAGGCGGCCCCCUGGACAAAGACUGACGCUCAGGUGCGAAAGCGUGGGGAGCAAACAGGAUUAGAGACCCCAGUAGUCCCUGUCUCUUAUAC